ACAAUUCUUCUUCCCUUUUUUACGCCCGUUUUAGUCUUCCCCCCUCUUCUCCCAUCUCUCAUUAGUCCUUUUCUUUUCCCACCUCUCUCUCUCUCUCCCUCCUUCCCACUCCUCCCCUCUCUUCUCCCUCUUCCUCUCAUUUCUCCACCACUGCCGGCCGGCGACCCUUCCCAUCUCUCACUUUCUCACCUCAUCCAUUUUAUUUUUUUUUCUUUUUUCUUUUUUUCUUUCUCCCUUCAACUCCACUGGUGACCAGUCGUCAUCGGCCAGCAAUUCCGGCAACCCAUAGUAAGCCUUUUUUUUAAUUUUAUUUUUAUUAUUAUUAUUAUUUAUAUAGUAAUUGUUGUUUGUGAGAUUUGAAUUGUUAAAUUAAUACGAAAGUUUGAUUAAUUUUUUAUUGAAUAAUUAAUAUGAAAUUUGGGUUAAUUUGUUAUCGGUGAAUUAAUUUGAAAUUUGCUAAUUUUGGUUGGAUUAAUUGAUAAUUUAUGUGAUUGUACUCAUUUAAAUGAUUUAAUUUGGAUAUGAUAUAAUAUUAUGGUAUAUUUUUUAUGUGGGUUUGCAUAUUAUAUUGAAUUGAUUUUGGUUGUGGAUUUAGGUUUGUAUAUUAAAUUAGGUUUGAAUUAUGAGAUAUUAAGUUUAGGUUUAAUGAAAUUUAUUUUAAUUUAUCAUGUUUUGAGUUUGAUUAAUCGAACUUAUGUUUUGGUUAUUAAUUUAAAAUUUUUGAAUUAGGGUCUAUAACAUGUGAUAUAUUUUUGUUGGGUUAUAUUUACUAAUUUGCGCCCAUUUUAAUUGAUAAAAUUUAUUAGACUAAUUUGAAGUUUGAAUUUGGGGUCGAAUAUCUAUUUUUAACUUUAUACAUUUGAACUAUUUUUGUUUUUACAUGAGUUCAUUCUAUAAUUCUAUUAGUUGAGUUUGAAUUUAUGACAUGUAGAGUAGGAAAUUUCAUGAAAGAAAGUGAGAUUUAAAAAGUUGGAGGAAGACAUUGAACUUGUUGUAAGUUGUUUGGGUACACGUUUUAUUUUUCACUAAUAUUGAGUUUUAUAUUUAUUAGUUUUUGUAAAUAUUCGUUUUUAUAUUUUUAUUUCUUGUGUACAAAAUUGAAUAUCCAACAAAUUAAAAUUUUUGUUUAAAUAAGAGUAACAAUUCAAUAAAAAUGUUUUAAUAAAAUAAUAGUUCAGAAAAUAUUAUUUUUAAUAAAAGUAAGUUUUCUUAAUAAAAAUUCACAAAAGUGUUUUUAGGAAAAUUUAAAAAAUUGUUUUUUCAUAAAAUUUUUAUAAAACAAAAAAAAGAAAUUGUUUUUAAUAAUGAUUGUUCAAAAAUUGUUUUGUAAAUAAAGUUAUUCCAAAAAUUAAUUUUUAAUAAAAUUAUCCAAAAACUGUUUUUUUAAACAAAUUCUUUUUCUUUAAUUAAAAUGUGAUCAAAAGUAAUUUUUAAAAAUAUAGAAUUUAUAUAUAUAUAUAUAUAUAUAUAUAUAUAUAUAUAUAUAUAUAUAUAUAUAUAUAUAUAUAUAUUUAAUGAGAAUACGAUGAAAAUUAUUCCAAUUUUAACAUUUUUGUAAAUAAAGUUAUAAAGGUUUUUUUUAAUUAAAAAUUCUUUUGCAAAUAAAGUUAUUAUUUUUUAAAUUAUUUAUAUAAAACACUUUUUUAAAUGAAAAUGAAUCGAAAUACUUUUGUAAACAAAAUUGUAAAAAUUCAUUAUUUUAUGAUAAAAGGAAGUAAAAAUCAUUUUUAUUACCUAAUUGAAAUUUUGUAUUAAAUUCUUUCCAUAAAACAAAUGUAAAUAAUCUUCUUGAAAAUUGAAUGCAAUUAAAAUUGAAUCAAGUCAUUUGUUGAAAUAAAUUGAUUUUUUUUUAAAUAAACCAAUUGAAAUCAUUAAUUCAAAAUUUUUUAAUAAAAUCAUUUAAAAUUUCUUGAAAAUUAAUUAUAUAUAUAUAUAUAUAUAUUAUUUCAAUAAAUCAUUUAUUUCAACAAAUCAGAGACCAAUUGUUCCACAGAAAAUCAUAGGAUUUAAAUUUCUAGGUCACAUUAGCCCAAGUGUGGAGGGCUUUAAUUUUAUAAGUUUAGGAUAUUCUUUUAACUUUUGACUGAAUUAUAAUAGACUAUGAUAUAAAUUAUUCAACUACGUAAACUUUGAGACCUAGUAGAAAAAAAGUUGGUUGGGUUGAGUUCAUUUUGAUUGACUAUCAUGGAUUAACAAAUAAAAAGCUAGCAGGAUCCAUUUUGCCCGUUGUACUUCCCGUGUAAAAGUGCGGAACUUAUAACACUUCUGAGGGCAGCAAGAGUGCUGGAACACUCUGCUGUAUUAUUUGUUGUCACUGCUUUCUUCUUAGCCAUUACAAUGAGCUUUCCCAUCUGCCUCAAGUGCUUGUCCUGGCCCCUCUAUGCUCUUUGCUUACUUGCUUUUUUUCAUUAGCAUGUUUAAUAGUGCUAGUUAAGGAAUGACUCCCACUAUUUCUAGGGAAACCGAAACAAGCAGAACAAAAUCACUGGCUUCAUGUGUGUCUGGUAAAUCCCACUUCCCUGCAGAAACAACCUUUUUCAUGGUACUCUCAUCCAACCAUCUUUCUCCUCUCUCUCCCUCCCUUUUUCUCUCUUUAUAUAUACACCCAUAUGCCUUUCACAUUCACAAGCAUCAGAGAGUGAAAAACAGAAACAAAAUGAUUCUGGGAAAUGCUCAACCCAAGCGCAAUAUAAUCCUACACAAAUCAUAGCCCAGCCCAAUCUUAUUAAUUCUUGCAGAGGCCUUCCCCCUGUUAGAAUCUCUCUUAUUUAGUUUGAUUAUUUUCUGUUUUAAUUUUCCGAGGUUUUUGAAGAACUUCUGGAAUUGACAAUAAAGACACAACCGUGCAAUUUACUGGGGAGGUAUAAAGCCUUUUCUUUCUUUCAGCGUUUUGCAAUUUGUAUGGAAUAUUCUGCUCGGACCUCGAACCGGUUACAGAACUGGAUUAGUUAAUCUUGCAGAUGGUCACAAUUCAAGAAUGAAAGAACUGUCAAACUGGUACAGUCGAUCCGCUGAAUUGAUACAUGAAUUGUCGAUACACUUGGAUUCAUGGCCAUAAGCAACAUCACUGAUUAAUAUUGCAUCAUUGUUUUUUAGACAGUCAAGUGUUAAUAUUUGUGGACAAGAAAACCUUUCUCGUCAUUUUUCUUAUUUCAUUUUAAUAUAAUUUUAUUUAUGAAGUCUGGUUAUUGCUGUAGAGGCCUUUUGUACUAGAAUCUCCCCGUUAGCUUUCGCACCAGAUCCUCAUAAUCAUGGAGAAUGCCCAUUUGAUCUCACUCCCUUCGUCACUCUUCACCCAUUCUUAGUUCUAUUUCUUCAAUAUAUAUGUAAUUCAUGGGUUUAAAAAGGGUUUGAAACCUCCAGCUUUGUAUGAAAAUUCUCACAUUUUUAAGUGAACUUGAGGCUGGUUAUGUAAUUCCCUUAAUUUUAAGGUUGAAACUAGGAGCAUCUAACUUGGUUGGUUUGGGACCUUAAAGAUAUGCUCCAUCAUGGUUCAUUAAUUUUAUAUUUAAAUUGGUUUUGUACCACCCACAAUCUAGCAUGCACCUUCUUCAUUUUAUUUAUGGAAGCUUUAGAGAAUAAGAAAUGAGACUAACUUAGUGAGAUUUAAAUUUAUAUUUUUAUUGUCUUAGUUGUAUUUAUCAACAAUUUGUUAUAACUUAACUUAAUUGAUAUAUGUAUUUUGUAUUUGCAGAUUCUUGAAUUCUCUUUCUCGUUAGGUUUUUUUUUUUUUUUUUUUCUUAAUUUCAUUAUCAUCCAAAACCAUGAGUAUGAAUUUUUAUUACAAAUGCAACAUGCAAAUUUUAUUUAUAGAAGAAAAUAUAAAACAUUUGUUAUAAAGUUAUAGUGGGAAUAUUGGGAUGAAUCGACCUUACACGUAGUUUUAUCUCUUAUGCCAAAAGAAGUUGUUUAUGUACAAAUGAUCACUAAGGUGGCAGAUUUUGAGGAUGAAGAAAUGUGGAGUGGUUAUAUAAAGAAGAUAUUCAUUAAUAUAAUGGUAAUAGAAGUGAUUAGAAGUAACAUGGAAAAUAGUAUGUAUGUUUAAUAACCAAACAUGGAAGAAGGUGUUAAAUAAAAUGAACAUUAGAGUAAAAUGAAAUUUUAAUUUAAAACAAUUGAAACAAAAGUUUCAUAGACUACAUGCCAAGCAUUGUGAAUUCUCUAACCUUUUAAAGCACACUAGAUCUAGUUGGGAUGCUAAAAGUAAAAUAGUGCAUGGUUUAGAUGAAACCUAACAAAAUUACAUUUAGGUAAAAAGAUCGACUUUCAAAGUAAUCAUUUUUCUCCAUUAACACAAUGUUAAGCAUGAGAUUUUUUUUAUAUUAUUUGUUCAUUUCUUAUUAGACACACCCAAAUGCGGAAAAAUUCUACUCCAAUGGAUGUUCAAAUUAUAAGUUGCUAGGACUCAUUUUUAAUCCUUCUAUAACUAGUGUCCUCCACUACUCAACCUAAUAUCCACUAAACACUACUGAUGAAAAUGAGAUGGAUGUUAACCUUCAACAUGAUGGAAUACAUGUAGAUGUAGAUCGUGAGAAUCCUAAUGAUCCUCUAUAACGAGUGAUUGAAAGGAGGGGUAACCACCCAUUCUAAAAAGCAUACUAGUGAUUAUUGUGAGGAUCAUAAAAAAAGUUAAGAAAAAGUCAAGACUAAGUCAAGUGGGUGAGGUCUUGAAAGCUUAGGCUUUAAUGCUAGAUUUGAGACAUUUAAGGCCAAAACUAAGACAUUAUUAACUAGAGCUAAGAGAUAUAAGGGUAGAACUAGUACUGAGGCUAUUAGUUCCCUAGGCACUCAUGAAUUUAGCAUAACCAAAUGCAUGGAAGCCUUGGAAAAUAUUGGAUUGCUUGACAAUGACAAAUAUGUGAAGGUUGUUGAGAAGUUCACAUAUGUAAAGUAGAGAGAUUUUUGUGAACAUGUUUGAUGAGAGGAAGAAGGCAUAGAUUGAUAGACUUUAGAUAUGGUUACUCAUAUUUGAAUGGAUUGUUAUUAUGCUAGCAAUGUAGUAUGUAUUUUUUUUUUGUUAGACAAGUUUUAGUGUGCUAUUUAAUUUUUCUGUGUUUCUAAUUUAGUCUUAUGAAACUUAAAUAACAUGUAUGUUAAUAUUAAUCAAAUGUUAUUUUAUAUUGUGUAUUAUAUUAUUUUGUGUAGCAAGUAAUGGUUGAUGAUGACAAAAGUAGCGGGUUAUUGUACAAGUCAACUUCAUCUUCUAAGGAUGAUGAUGACUUAGAUGAAAUAAUGAAAGAGUGAUUUUUUUUUUAAUUAAGAGGAUAUAUAUAUAUAUAUUAAGUGGUGCACAAUUUGUAAGAGAUAUACUAGAAUGUCAUCCUCAAGCAUGUUACAAAUUGUUUCGAAUGGACAAACAAACUUUUAUUAACUUUUGUGACCAUCCAAAGAGACAUAAAAACUUAAAAGAUACAUGAUGGGUGACAGUUGUAGAAGCAAUUGUCAUGUUCUUACUAAUAAUGAGGUAUAACAUGAGAAUGAAAAUCGUUGUAGACAGUUUGUUGCUCAAUAUUUCAAAGAAGCUAAUAGAGCAUUAUGUUGGCUAGCCAAAAUCCUCAUAUGUCCUAGCAAUGUCUAAUGAGGUGCUUUCAUAUAUUGUUAAUAACCUUAAUUAUUUUCCAUGGUUCAAGGUAAAGUUUUCAAUCUUUAAAAAUAACACAAUUUUUUCUUAUAGUAUUGCAUGCAUUGGAGCAGUUGAUGACACGCAUGUGAGUGUAUGGGUUCUAGUUGAUAGACAAACUAGUUUUAAAGGUAGAAAAAUAGUCAUAACACAAAAUGUGAUGUGUGCAUGUGAUUUUAACAUAAUGUUCACUUUCGUUUAUGUUGGUUGGGAGGGAAUAACAAAUAAUGCACUUGUCUUAUUGGAUGCACUAACUAGACUUGAAAUCCAAUUUCCAUGGUCAAUUGAAAGAAAAUAUUAUUUAGUAUAUUUAGGUUAUCCUUGUACAUUUGAAUUUCUACAUACCAUCAUAUCAUAGUGAGCAAUAUCACUUACUAGAUUAUCGAGGUAGAUAUAAUUAGCCCAUAAGGUACAAAAAAAACCUUUUACUUCUAAACAUUCAUCGCUUCAAAACACUAUUGAAAGGUGUUUUAGUAUUUUAAAAGCACGAUUUUUGAUAUUGAGGAUGAUGUUUUCUUAUAAGUCAAGUAGACAACCAUCAAUUAUUGUUGCAUGUUGUACGCUUCACAAUUAGAUUUGUCAAUCAACACAAAAUGAUCAAUUAUUUAGACAAUAUGAGGUGAAAGACAUUUUAGUGCAAGGUGAAAAAUCGACCAAAAGUAACAUAAGCCACUUCAUUAAUUUGACAAAUGAUAAUGCAACAAUUAUAUAUGACAAUAUGUAUGGAUGAAACUGUUCAAGUAAUUUGGGCAAAUUAUAUCAAUGUCAAUUCAUAACUUAUAAUUUGUAUAAUUUUAAAUAUUUGCAUUUUAUUUCGUUAAAUUUUAGGAUUUUAUAUAGUUUAAUUUCUUAACUGGUUUUUAUUAGUAUUAUAUUAUUUAUGUUGUAAUUGAUGAUUAUGAUUAAAAAUAAUCUAUAAAUUAGAUUGAUAAUGUAAAAAAGGAUGGAGAGAAGGUCCAUGUGUUUCAUAUUACCUUUUAUUCAUAAUACUAUAUUAAAUGUAGUGAUCAUGUCAUAAUACUUAUAGUAUUAAUUUAUUUUAAUGUCGAUUGAGUUAGUAAACAUGUAAUUAUUGUAACUUAUUUAUGAGAUAUUUUUUGUUAUCAUUACUAAUUAAUUACAAGGAAUUAUAUAUGGAUAUUUAUAGGUACAAGAUUUUGUAAAAUAUUAUGACAUAUGCGAAAUGUUAUUCAUAUUUUGAUUAUUUUAUCAAUUGCAUGUGUAAGGAGUGGAAAUUGACUAUAAAUAUAAAUGUUCAUACUAUAAAGAUUUGUUUUUAAAAAAGAUAAAAUUAUUUAAAGGUAGAUAUAUAUAUAAUUUUUAAAAUUGAUGAAAAUUUUUGUUAUUCUAAUCAAGUAUAUAUUUACAUUUUAAAAUUUUAAUUUUAUACAUUAUUUGUUUUUACUACAUGAUAUUAAUAAUGAGAAGAAACUCUUGUUUUAGAAAACAAAUUCAAAACAAGGUUUUUGUUUUUUGUUGUUUUAUAAAACUGUUUUAUUAAUUCAACUAAAUGUGUUUUUUUAUUUUUAAAAACAAAAAAUUAUUUACUUAGAAUUCAGUUCCAAACAUAAUUUUGUUUCUAGAAAUAGUAUAAAAUAGAUUUUAAAAACUAUUCUAACAAAAGUUGUGUAAAUGUUCCCAAAUAGGACUAUGAUUUGUUUUCACAUGUGAAAAUUUUGAUAGGAGUGUAAGAAAGUGAGUAAUGAAAUUUUGAAGUUUUGUUUUCACAUGUCAAAAAUUUUAAUUGAUGGCGUAGAAGCCAAGUGAAGAGAAAUGUAAUUAUUAAAAUUUAAUUUUGAGAAACUAUGAACUGUUUGGAUGUGCGAUUAAAAACUAGUUUUAUGUUUUUAAAAAUUCAUAAAACUGCUUCUACAAUCAUAUUAAUAUCCAUAUUUUUCUAAUAUAUAUUAAAAUAUUUUUUUAUAAAAAAUAUAAAUUAUGAUUUUAUUCUUAUAUUACUACUCAUAUAUUAUUAAAAACUAUGUAUUUUUAAUUUAUUUAUGAUUAAAAAUUAUUUUUAUUUUGAAUAAGAUUUGAAUUAAAUCAAAUUAAUGUUAUAAAAAUUAAAUUUAUAAUAUUUUUAUAAAAUCAAAAUAGAAAAUUAUUUUUAAAACAACUUAUCUAAACAAUUUUUUGUUUUUUGUUUUUUGAAUUUUUUUUUUUUAAAUAAUUCCAAACACCCUUAUUUUUCUACAAUACUAUAAAACCCUUUUUUGUUUUUUAACUUAAAAACAAGCAUACAAAAACAUCACGGCCUGCAUUUUUAUUUGGUUGUAAAACGUAGAAGAAAUUACUAAAAUUAUUUCUAUUUCUUAUCUUGUUUUUCUCAUACUUUAAAAAUAAAAAUUAAUAUUUAACUAUAGCCAAUUAUUUAAUUGAUUUUGCUCCUAUUCAUAUUAAACCCUAUUACUAAUCGAUUUGCUUCACAGUGAAUUCACGCGGUGUCCAUGGAUAUUGGAUUUUAAUAAAGCAGUGAAACAUCAUGAUGUCUAAGAUUCUUUGACAAACAUAAAUCAAACAAACAUAUUUGCCAACUAAUUAUCACCAACCUUAAAAGGUGAAAGCACUGGAGAACAACUUCUCUCCAACUUCCAAUAAUUAAUCCUUGUAAAGUCUCUUCCAAGGUUAAAGGUUUGAAAAAUUCUUAUAUAUAUAUAUAUAUAUAUAUAGCUUCCCCAUCCAUUAAUUGAAUAAUAAUAAUAAUAGUUUGUAUGAUAUUUUUAACCUACCUUUACUUAUUUUAUAUAUGUCAUCUCAUAAUCUAAAUUCAAUGUAUAACUUAUUCUAAAAACCAUAUGGAACCGAUCGAGGAAUUAAAAAUUUGAUUAUAUACAUUUACCUAUGAGACUUACUGUUUGCUUUUCAUCCAGGUAGUUGUAUUAUUUUAUAUUUUUCUGAAAAAACAUCAAUUCAUUUUUUUUUUUUUUGUCAUGUGGAUCAUAAUAAUUGCAAUGCAAAAAAUAUAGACUUGAAAAAGAAAGGUCUUUGAUGUCGGUAUGAAUAGUACAUGGGGAUGAAAAAGAAUAUAUAGAACUCUCACAUGACCUUUCCACGGGGAUGAAACCAUGGGUGGAAAGAUCCUUAUUUACUUUUUGAUUAAUUAUUUAUUCUUUUAUUUAUAUAUCAAUGCAAUAAAAUCCUCUUAAUUUAUUAUAAUUUGUUCACAUUCUUAUUCACUUCAUAUGGAACAAAUUUGAGGGUGAUGGUCUUUAAUCUCUUGCAUUUUUCUACUCUGAUUUUUGUUUUAAUUUUUUUUCCAACUUUUCAAAAACCAGAUUAAUAAUUUUGCCAACUAAAAAUAUUAUGAUGAAUUUAUAACUUACUAGCAAGAGUAGGAAAUGAGAACAAGAAAUCCAUUCUAUCUUCUAUUUAUUAUAGCAUAUAACAUUUGACAAUCUUGAUUAAGUAAACUAAAAAAUAAUAAGCUUCAAAAAUAGAGUUCUUUGCUGGCCUCUUUUGGAACCUUAUCCUUGAAAUAAACUUAAUUCGGUUUUACUUAAUUUUAUGGGAAAAAGAAAAAAAAUUAAAUUUAAAUAUCAACAAUUAAGUUUUUAAGUAAAAUUAAAAUAAUAAAAUAAUUAAGACCAAAUUAUAAUUCAUUCACAAAUAAAUUAACUAAUCUAUUUAUAAAAAAUAAAAUAUAUAUUAAUUAUCAAGGUACCCUUUUUAAAUUAAAAGAAAAUAAACUAUCAUAGCCCCAUUUAAAACAAAACAAAUAGAAAUUAAUUUACUAUAGUAUUUUAUAGAAUUUAUUUUAAUAUGUAAAAUAUUUAAAAAUAAAUAAAUAAAUAAAAACCUGCAUGAUGACUGACAAGUCUAACCAAAUGACAAAAAUGAUGAAACGUUCUUUUCAUCUUUGCUUUCCUUUCCCUUCUGAUAAGAAAGUGGCUACACUUUGCAAAGAAACUAAUAGGCAACUUCGAGAAAAUCAUGUUCCCCCAUCAACAGUUCAUGAUUACUGAUUCGUUUAUAAAAGAUCGUUUAUAGUACUAUAGUCUCACGUCAGGAAAAUUUCAUGAAUUUUCACUUUUCUGGGUUGCAGCUUAACAAAAAUGUUGUCGUUGACACCAUCGUCGUCGUCGCCGCCGCCACCACCGCCGCCACCACCACCACCACCACCGCCACAACAACAACAAUCCACUGAUGAGAGAGUCCCCGAAAUAGCAGAGGCUGGCGAAGUUCAGGCCAUUACCUCCACAAGAAUAAGAAUGACCCCACUAGUUGCUUCACCAGAGUAUCAGAGAAAACUGAACUGACCCAAGCUAAUAAUAACUAGUUAUUUAUCAUCAGCCUUUGUAAUAGCUUUCUAAACUCAAUCUUCUCCUUCGCCUCCAA
rnacentral:lncRNA from 1 species